AUUGAACGCUGGCGGCAGGCCUAACACAUGCAAGUCGAGCGGAUGAAGGGAGCUUGCUCCUGGAUUCAGCGGCGGACGGGUGAGUAAUGCCUAGGAAUCUGCCUGGUAGUGGGGGAUAACGUCCGGAAACGGGCGCUAAUACCGCAUACGUCCUGAGGGAGAAGGUGGGGGAUCUUCGGACCUCACGCUAUCAGAUGAGCCUAGGUCGGAUUAGCUAGUUGGUGGGGUAAAGGCCUACCAAGGCGACGAUCCGUAACUGGUCUGAGAGGAUGAUCAGUCACACUGGAACUGAGACACGGUCCAGACUACUACGGGAGGCAGCAGUGGGGAAUAUUGGACAAUGGGCGAAAGCCUGAUCCAGCCAUGCCGCGUGUGUGAAGAAGGUCUUCGGAUUGUAAAGCACUUUAAGUUGGGAGGAAGGGCAGUAAGUUAAUACCUUGCUGUUUUGACGUUACCAACAGAAUAAGCACCGGCUAACUUCGUG
rnacentral:rRNA from 1 species